rnacentral:tRNA from 1 species
GCCCCCAUAGCUCAAUUGGCAGAGCAGCACCCUCUUAAGGUGAUGGUUGUAGGUUCAAUUCCUGCUGGGGGCA